rnacentral:rRNA from 1 species
AGGAAAAGAAACCAACAGGGAUUGCCUCAGUAACGGCGAGUGAAGCGGCAACAGCUCAAAUUUGAAAUCUGGCCCCCGGCCCGAGUUGUAAUUUGCAGAGGAUGUUUCUGGCGAGGUGCCUUCCGAGUUCCCUGGAACGGGACGCCAUAGAGGGUGAGAGCCCCGUACGGUUGGUCGCUAAGCCUCUGUGAAACUCCUUCGACGAGUCGAGUAGUUUGGGAAUGCUGCUCUAAAUGGGAGGUAUACGUCUUCUAAAGCUAAAUACCGGCUAGAGACCGAUAGCGCACAAGUAGAGUGAUCGAAAGAUGAAAAGCACUUUGAAAAGAGGGUUAAAUAGUACGUGAAAUUGUUGAAAGGGAAGCGCUCAUGACCAGACUUGGGCCGGUUGAUCAUCCAUCGUUCUCGGUGGUGCACUCUGCCGGCCCAGGCCAGCAUCAGUUUGGCCCGGGGGAUAAAGGCUUCGGGAAUGUGGCUCCCUCCGGGGAGUGUUAUAGCCCGUUGCGUAAUACCCUGGGCUGGACUGAGGUUCGCGCUCCGCAAGGAUGCUGGCGUAAUGGUCAUCAGUGACCCGUCUUUGGCGUAAUGGUUAUCAGUGACCCGUCUUGAAACACGGACCAAGGAGUCGUCUUCGUAUGCGUAAUGAAAGUGAACGUAGGAGAGAGCUUCGGCGCAUCUCCGACCGAUCCUGAUGUUCUCGGAUGGAUUUGAGUAAGAGCAUACGGGGCCGGACCCGAAAGAAGGUGAACUAUGCCUGUAUAGGGUGAAGCCAGAGGAAACUCUGGUGG